rnacentral:rRNA from 1 species
UACAGAGGGGGCAAGCGUUGUCCGGAAUUACUGGGCGUACAGCGCGCGCAGGCGGUUGCCGACGUGCCGUGUGACAAGCGGGGGCUCAACCCCCGAGGGCCACGGUAAACGGGGCGACUGGAGGACGGGAGAGGGAUGUGGAAUGCCCGGUGGAGCGGUGAAAUGCGUAGAGAUCCACAGGAACUCCGGUGGCGAAGGCGGCACGCUGGACCCUUUCUGACGCUGAGGCGCGAAAGCCAGGGGAGCGAACGGG